AAAGACUUCAUUGAAACCCUCUAUGAUUUCAGGCAAUGAACAUCCUCCAGUUAAUCAAUAAUUAAGCAUUACUACUUAGAACAAAGUUUAACUGCAUUUAAUUUGAAUCCUCAAAUAGCAAGUAAAAAUGGACUGAGGAAAUAAUAGACAUAUCUAUAAUAGUGAACUACAAUUCAAACCUAACUUUGGUCAUGUAUGAAGUUCAAUUAUAACAUACUCCAUAAACAUUCAACUAAUAAAGAUGAAUUACAN
rnacentral:lncRNA from 1 species